rnacentral:lncRNA from 1 species
GGAAAGAAGUUUCCAUAGAAGUCACAACUGGACUUGAGCUAAUCGAAUCUAUCAUAUGACUGAUGAUGAGAUUUGACGAUUUAUCCAUGACCUGCCAUCAAAUCGAGACUGACGAUAGAGAGAAUGAAUCAUACGUUAACUACACCUAGAGAUUCAUUUCAGUUCUAUUGGGUUGCCACUACAUACUGCUAGAUAUCAC